rnacentral:tRNA from 1 species
AAGGGAGACCUAAUUCGGGUAUAAGACGAAAAAAGAGUAGUCGAAACCAAGAAUCAAUCCCAAAAGGUCGGAACGAGGUAUGUGGCUUUCAAACUAGGUUCUGGGUUCACACAAGACCUGAAUCAGGAACAAGGGCUAUUAGCUCAGGUGGUUAGAGCGCACCCCUGAUAAGGGUGAGGUCCCUGGUUCGAGUCCAGGAUGGCCCACCUGCACAGGUGGCAAAAACAAAGAAGCGAGGAAUCAGCACCUUAUCUUACUCAUAUAGUAAGAGAGAAUGCUGGCUCUGAGUAAAGAGUCCAGAGGAACCUUGAAAACUGCAUAGAGCUAGGUGAAAAAGCCAAAAAAGAAGACCGCAA